rnacentral:rRNA from 1 species
AGAGUUUGAUCCUGGCUCAGGAUGAACGCUAGCUACAGGCUUAACACAUGCAAGUCGAGGGGAAACGGCAUUGAGUGCUUGCACUCUUUGGACGUCGACCGGCGCACGGGUGAGUAACGCGUAUCCAACCUUCCCAUUACUGUGGGAUAACCUGCCGAAAGGCAGACUAAUACCGCAUAGUCUUCGAUGACGGCAUCAGAUUUGAAGUAAAGAUUUAUCGGUAAUGGAUGGGGAUGCGUCUGAUUAGCUUGUUGGCGGGGUAACGGCCCACCAAGGCAACGAUCAGUAGGGGUUCUGAGAGGAAGGUCCCCCACAUUGGAACUGAGACACGGUCCAAACUCCUACGGGAGGCAGCAGUGAGGAAUAUUGGUCAAUGGGCGAGAGCCUGAACCAGCCAAGUAGCGUGCAGGAUGACGGCCCUAUGGGUUGUAAACUGCUUUUGUAUGGGGAUAAAGUUAGGGACGUGUCCCUAUUUGCAGGUACCAUACGAAUAAGGACCGGCUAAUUCCGUGCCAGCAGCCGCGGUAAUACGGAAGGUCCGGGCGUUAUCCGGAUUUAUUGGGUUUAAAGGGAGCGUAGGCCGGGGAUUAAGUGUGUUGUGAAAUGUAGGCGCCCAACGUCUGACUUGCAGCGCAUACUGGUUCCCUUGAGUACGCGCAACGCCGGCGGAAUUCGUCGUGUAGCGGUGAAAUGCUUAGAUAUGACGAAGAACCCCGAUUGCGAAGGCAGCCGGCGGGAGCGCAACUGACGCUGAAGCUCGAAGGUGCGGGUAUCGAACAGGAUUAGAUACCCUGGUAGUCCGCACAGUAAACGAUGGAUGCCCGCUGUUGGUACCUGGUAUCAGCGGCUAAGCGAAAGCAUUAAGCAUCCCACCUGGGGAGUACGCCGGCAACGGUGAAACUCAAAGGAAUUGACGGGGGCCCG